CCUACGGGUGGCAGCAGUGGGGAAUAUUGCACAAUGGGGGAAACCCUGAUGCAGCGACGCCGCGUGAGUGAAGAAGGAAUUCGGGAUGGAAAGCUCUAUCAGCAGGGAAGAAACAGACGGUACGUGAGUAAGAAGCCACGGCUAUCUACGUGCCAGCAGCCGCGGGAAUACGUCUGGGGCAAGCGUUAUCCGGAUUGACUGGGUGUAAAGGGAGCGUAGACGGGGUAGAAAGUCUGUAGUGAAAGCCCGCGGCUUAACCGCGGAACUGCUUUGGAAACUUUUUUGCUGGAGUACCGGAGCGGUAAGCGGAAUUCCUGUUGUAGCGGUUAAAUGCGUAGAUAUUACGCGGCACAC
rnacentral:rRNA from 1 species